UUUUUUUUUUUUUUUUUGGCUAUUGUUACCUUUAUCUUUUCAGAAUGUCAUUUAUACCACCAGUGGUGGGAAAAAAAAAAAAGUUCUAAAUUCCCUAAUCCAAAAUCUAACUGAUUUGGGGGAAUGUGUCUACAGCUAGUUAGGAGGCUUGAGAGAGAAACCAUUUGCAGGAACUUCCUCCCUCUGACCCUUCAGUGUAUAUAUAUGACCAAGCCCUUCAUACAUCCUUAGAAUAGGAUAUCCUGUCUUAAAUAAUAAAGGGAGCAAUGUGAGACUUCCUGAUGAGGGUCUCAACUGCUUUUUCUGUUGCCUGAACUAACAAUUCAGUUCAAAACAAGAUUGAGGCUGGGAUUCUCUGCUGUCCUCAACAGAUAGAUCCAAAAAAAGCUAGGCUGAUGAAUGGAGAGUGGCCCAGUACCUUCUUUGAGCCUGGAGCUCAUCAUUAGAGCUCAGUGGCUCCAAGGACAGUUGUGUGAUUGUCACAUCUUAUAGUAGGGCUUUGCCCACCAGCUGCCAGGAUCCAGGGUGGGGCAAGAGCUAGCUGCUUCUGUUGAUGGCUUUCCUCCCUCCUCCCAACUGCCCUGCUGUGAGCUGUGAGUGUGUGGCUCCCUAGCUCUGGGCUGCCAGUCACCACUCUCUACAGACUCAAGCCUGGUAGCUGCUGGGUCUGAGCUUGUGUUCAUUGGUAGUUGGAGAACAGAGCAUGAACCUCUUCCCCUGAUAGUGGCACUUAAAUCAACAGAAUUCCCAGGAGCCAGUGGGCACUCAAUGCAAAUAAUUGUUAUCAUUGUGUGAGUAACCAAUAAAGAAAACAUGCUGGGACAGAAGAAAUUGAUGCCUUAGAAACAAGAAUAUAUAUUUACAGGAUUAAACAAAACAAAAAACUUCCCAAGCAGUCCCCAGUCCUUUUGAUCCUCUCAGUCUCACAGUUGCUAGCUGGAAAGUGGAUGGAAUAAUUAGAAGAUGCUCGAGUCACCUUGGACCUAACUACCCUCCUUCCUCCAAGGAACAAAAUCUCAGAAGGAUCUUCUUGGUAACCUCAUGGGAAGAGCCUUGAAAACAGCAAACAUCUAAACUGAAGGGUCUUCCCCAGAGAUUGGAAUCUCAGCAAGAGGAAUUGCCAUCUUACCUACUGCCGUUGAUUGAAUGUAAAACAAGCUGAGAAGAAGGGGAAAGAGGAGUGGAGGAGGUAGGUAAAAAUCUCUCUUGGCAGUGGAGGAAAGGCAGAGUUCCCUGUUGGAGGCCAAGAUGGCACAGAGCCCCAGGAACAGGCUUAAAUUGGUGAUCCUGGCAGGGACCGCCAGACUUUUGAGAUUGAUCAGAAAAGCUUCAGCUUGUGGGGUCUCCAAUCUGCCAGCAACUGGAAUAUCAAGAUUUAUUCAACACAAACAGUCCCUCCAAUCUGAGUUGGCUCACCAAAUUGAUGACCUACUGUAUCUGCCUCUGAACUGUUACUGACCUGGCAGUCUAUCUAUAGGAGUCUCUGUUGGCUUCCCUCAGCCAUCCUAGUGGAAGUGAGGUGGCAUCUCAUCGUGGUUUUAUACUUCCCUCAUGACUAAGGAGAUUGAGCAUCUUUUCAUCAGCUUCAAGUCGUGCUUUCAAGGCUGGAGAAGAAGCCAUUACACUUUUAAAAACUGAAGAAUACUGAGGCCCAAUCUGCAUGAGCUUUUGCAAAGCAAAGUCAUGUAGAUUUCUCAUUAUGGAAGUUGCUGAUCCUAGAGCAUUCUCAUCCAAAAGGAAGGAAAUGAGGAUAGGCAGAAGACAGGCCACCAGCUGAGAGCCUGGAAAGAAAACAAACGAGGUCAAGAAAAGCAAUCACAUAAUCCAACACACCUUCAGGAGAGCACACCGCAGGAAGUUCAGAGAGGAUGACCAAUGCAGCGGAAACCAACCUACUUCCAUCUUCUGACAGCAUCUGUGGCUUUGCACCUUUUACUCCUGGGCUACCUGUCAAUUUAGGAUUUAGCUCUGGAAGCUGUCUAACUAGAAUGCAUACACACAAUUCCAGUGUUGCAAAGACCAAAGAUUUUCCAGGAAGCUGGGAGGCAAAUUCUGAAGGCAAAGUCAAGAGAGCGAAAUCCUGAAGUGCAGCAAGCCAGAGCCUACUCAGUGUGCCCAGAUCUGUGUGGACUAAGUCAAGCAGCCCGUCUGAUGAAAUCGACCCAUUUCUGACACACUCUUCUGAAGAGGCAGUAGUCUUGGAAGGUUGUUUGUGGUUUUUACAUCUUUCCACAGCAAUUAUAUAUACCUGUAUAAAAGUUACUUUAUAAAUAGGAAAAUCUUGUACCCACUGAAAAGGUGCUGUAAUAUUUUUAUCUUGCUGAGGAAGGAGAUACACCUUUGAGCCUCCUGGACUGAAAAUACAUUACGAUACCAAGAAGGUAUAUAUAUGUGUAACCACACACACAAAAACUGCAGUAGGAAGGUCCAAAAGGAGUAUCUUCAGUGAGAUGUACAUCUGACAAAUAUGCUGCCACUUUACAGUUUACAACCAUGAGAGCAUGGCAUUCUUUGCGCUAAGCCAAGUUAUGGCCUUGUAAUCCAUCUCAACAUAUGGCUCCAGCAGCCAUCUAUGAACUAAAAUAAGCUGAAAUACUGAAUAUUACCACUGAAUUACUACAAAUGAUUUACCUAAGUAGACUUAACAAGGACCACUUAUAGAACUAUAGAAUGUUAAAGCAUUCAACAUACAUAAUGUGUACUAUCUCUUUAUCCAUAAUUCUGAAAUCCAAAAAGCUCUGAAAAAUAUAAGUUUGUGGGAAAUCAAGCUGGUGACAAAACUGGCUGAAUUUAUGUGAGGCUAUUUAUAGUCUCUUUCUCACAGUGUGAAUUAUUCAAAUACUCCACACGAUACAUUAGUGUGUUUGAUUACAGAUUCUAUGGGCCCAGACUUCUUAGGUACACGCAAUAUGUAUUGUAUUACUUUUAGAAAAUCCUUCAAAUGUUAAAGCCCAAAUAUAUCUGGCUCCAAGGAUUUCAGAUAAUUAUGGACCUCAAUCAUCAUGGAACUUGUUGGUCAGUCAUUAUGUCCACUAAGGAGAGAAGAGGAGAAAGCUAUGGCUAAAGCAAGAAUAUAGAGAUUCAAAUUACUAUAAAGAACACUAUGUAAGUAGAGAGUUACUUAUAAUAAGUUUGAGAAUUUGUGUUUGUUCCACUACAAACAUAUGAUUAAAUCAUUUAAAGUUGAGUUGGCUGUUAAAGAUCAUUAGAUCCAACUUAAUAAAUCUAAUGCAGAACUACUUCCUAACCUAGAUUUGUCAACACCUAAUAAUGACAAAAACAGACACUCUUCUAGGGUUUUAAUUAGUCCUACUGAAGGUGACUCUUUCUUACAUAUUGGUUAAUUCUCAGUUGCCAUCUGAGACUAUAUAUGUCAUUAAAGUGCUAUAUAAACUAAGACUGACCAAGCCUGGUAACUGCUGUGGGUGGAUGAUGGGUAUAUGUGAAUUCAUUAUACUAUUCUAUUUACUUCUGUGCAUGUAUAAACAUUUCCAUUGUAAAUUUAAAAAUUAUAUAGCUUCCUUCCUGAUUAGAAAAGUAAAGUUAAGCACUUUCCUCUAAGAUUUGUUUAAUCUUAGAAAAUAAAAUGACUUGGUUAACAUUCAGAAGUCAUUCUAUGAAAGAGCACUAAAAAAUAUUAGGAGUUCCCUCAUGGCUCAGCAAGUUAAGGAUCCAGCAUCUUCACUGCUAUGAUGUGGAUUCGAUCCCCGCCCGGGAACUUCCACAUGCUGUGGGCGUGACCAAAAAAAACAAAAAAAAUUAUAGUUAAGUACUAUAGAGUUGACAGGAUAUACAAGCAAACCUGCAUUUCCAAUUAAUCCAGGUUUCAAUAAAAGCUGAUUCCCAUUGGCUAUUA